UAUUACGUCUUCACCGACAAUUAGAGUGAAGUGCGGGUUAAAAAGCCAAUUUUAACUUUUCAUCUUCCCUCCAAAGGAAGCUGGAAAGAAAUCUUCCCUCCAAACGAAAACCCUAUUCUUGAUAAGUUUCCCCGCUCUGCUCUUACUUCUUCAGUCUCACCAUUCUUUACUCGUUUCUAACACCAUAUUCAUAUUAUUUUUCUAAAACCAUAUAUUUAAUUCCUUUUCUCUGUUUUUGAGCAGUGCUGGCAAGUUCUUACCUUAUUUUAUCUAUUGUCUUUAUCAAACCACAUUUUUACUCGAUGGUUGAAGAAUUAGGAUGGAGAAGCGUUGGUUUCAAUAGUAAUAAAGUCCAAAUUGUUGGAUAUCCAAGGAUUGAAAUAGAAAAAGGAUAGGAAUGAAACUGGAAUUAAGUGUCCAAGAUUUUCGAUCGGUAAAUAUUUAUCUUCUCUGCAACCCAGAUUUAUUUUUGUUCCUAUCAGUAUAUCUCUACUCAAAUCUGUAAGCCCUAAUUUAUUCUUGUUCCUAUCGGGUAUAUUUCAACACUCUCAAUAUGCCCUAAUUUAAUAUUCUUUUUGUAUAGAAUGGUUAAACAUUGUAUUCACUUUGAUGUUGUCUGCAUAACUGUCCAACUUUUACUCAAUUUUAAACUUCUAUCUAUGCUAUCCAUUUGGGAUUUUUUCCUUGUGAAUUUUACAUGUGCACCAGCUUUAUACUUAUUAUAUAAUCAUAGCAUAAUUGGGUUAAAUUAUGAUUCAUUUCCUUAUACUUUAUUGUUUAUUAAUUUUUCUUAUAGAUGACAAAUUCAAAAAGGUUGUUCACUGUGUAGAGAUUGAACCAAAGUAGAACUCAGUAGUUUGGGAACCCUCAAAGCUUGAAUUCUGCAUAUCAUGAUAUUUGUAAUACAUGACACAUGAGAUAAUGAGAAGAGUCCUAUACAUGUCAAACUACAAUUCAAUAUCUGGAGAUUAAUAUCUGAGAAUAUCAAGAUGGUCUAACACGUUGUUUGAUAAAAUGUCGUAUUGAGAUAUUGUCACUAGGACUGUAAUGCUUACUAUGAAUGUUUUUUUAUAAGUUGUUCUUUAGAUCAUCAAAAGGUGAAAAAACCUUUUCAGAUAUUAGUAGGUUGAGUAGUUUAAUUUCACUGAAUGUGAAAAAUAUUAGAACUAUUUUACAUCGUACAUUUCAAAGAACAAUAGAAAUACCUCUAUAAUAGAAAAUUAUAUCAACAAAUGUGUCAUUAUUGUAAAUUUUUAAGGGAGUGAACAACUUUUAACAGUAUACAUCAUAAAGGGUUUAUAAAUCACAUUUAAGAAGCUUCCAAUUCUUAUUAAAUUUUAACAAUUAUACAUACUCUAUAGUUUGGUGUCCUAUGAAGAUGUAUUUCUCAAUCUGUUAAAGCACUGACAUAUAUAUUGGGUAUGUCUUUAGUAUUUUAACAAACGGAGGAUAUCAGGGUAAAUACAAUUAGAGAAUGCUUUUAUUUAUUAUGUGGAUGUAUUGAUUAAGCUUAUUAACCUUUGUGAAUUUUGAACUUGCUCAUAUUUAAAAUAAAAUAAAAAUUCAAGCAUUAUUUUUUUUUUGAGGAAUUUAGGGACUUCACGUUGGUCUGAACAUGGCUCUAGUUAUUGCUUUACACAACAUCCAGAGGUAUACCGUAAUACAUGUUAUGCCAUUACUAAAAGGUAAGCUUCGUCCAAGGAAGAAAGUUGUUGUGGAGUUCAAUAGUUGUAACCAAGCCAUCAGAAAAGAGGGUCAAAACUAUAAGUUAUUUAUUUUAUGUUUCAACGACAGAGUCGAGCCAAACAAAUUGAAACAAUAAGGCCAAGCAAAAGAUGCCUCACACAGGAGGAUCUAAAAGUAUUGCCACCCUAAUGGAUGAGAAGGUUGAAAAUGGGAUAGAGCCUACUCAAGUUUAAGUUUCUAUAUUAACUCAUGAACAACGUAAGGACGGUAGACCACUUAAUGAGGAGUCUGCGAAGACAUGGUAAGGUUUCUCUUCCCUUUCUUUUACAUCCUAAAAGAGCAUCUUCUAGUUUAUGUUGGAUUGAGUAAGCAUCUUAAGUAAUGCUUCCAAAAGUAUCCACAUUUAAGCCUUAAGACAUAUGAAUAUAUGAGUUGUGACUUGCAGAGAAGUAUGAAUAUAUUUUAGAACUCUUCCAAAAGUAACGAAUGUAUGUAAUUCUUUUUUGUAUGUGUGUGUCUAUGUAUAAUAUGUAAUUUGUGUAUAUGUGUUCUUUUUAAUCUUUACACGGGGUGUGAUUGUAAGCUGGUCUUUGUUGUUAUAUGCUGGAAAGUCCAACUAUGUUACUGUUAGAAGUUCUACUCUCUACUAAACUUGAAGAGCAGAUGGAUAUGUAUCUCUCAGGAAAAGGCAUUAAAUCUACUUCUGAUGCCUUUUUGCAAAUAGUCUGGACUUUGUGUUUUCAACGGGGACUUCUUUGUGGUCAUAAAAAACAGGACUUCUUAGUUUUUAGGUGCGGACACACUGAUGCAAGAUAUCCCUGGUGUUAGUGGUUUAGCAAGAUGAUUUUUAACCUUGCUCAUGUGGUUCCGCUGUUAAUGAAUAUUUUCAGAUUUUCCAGAUGCAGGAAAUUUAUAGCAUCCGGAUAUUUGAAGGAGGUUGUUGCCGAACAAAAGAAACAACUGUCAUAUAGUAUGAUGAAGCAUGUGCAAGAUUUCAGUCGGACGAAGAAUUGUAGAAAUUGUUUGAGGGUUGUGCAUCGUUUAUUUUGUUUUUGUCGGUAUUGGAUAGGAUUAAUUGUAAUGAUUUUAGGUUUUUAGCUCAAUCAAUGUAAGUUUAUUUUACGGCAAAGGAUAUGUUAAUAUCAUGAAUUAGUACUUGAUUUUGUU